rnacentral:rRNA from 1 species
CACGUAGUUAGCCGGGGCUUUCUGGCGAGGUACCGUCAAGGUACCGGUCUCUUCGAGCGGUACUUGUUCUUCCCUCACAACAGAGUUUUACGAUCCGAAGACCUUCAUCACUCACGCGGCGUUGCUCCGUCAGACUUGCGUCCAUUGCGGAAGAUUCCCUACUGCUGCCUCCCGUAGGAGUCUGGGCCGUGUCUCAGUCCCAGUGUGGCCGAUCACCCUCUCAGGUCGGCUACGCAUCGUCGCCUUGGUGAGCUUUUAUCCCACCAACUAACUAAUGCGCCGCGGGCUCAUCUGCAAGUGAUAGCCGGAGCCAUCUUUCAACAUCUCCCCAGGCAGGAAGAUGUGUCAUUCGGUAUUAGCACCGGUUUCCGGUGUUAUCCCGAUCUUGCAGGCAGAUUGCCCACGUGUUACUCACCCGUCCGCCGCUCGUUCCACAGGAAAUUGACCCCGAAGGGCCAAAUUCCUGCUUCCCGCGCUCGACUUGCAUGUAUUAGGCACGCCG